rnacentral:lncRNA from 1 species
AUACGCUAGUAAAUUCAUCAUACGAUGUUCUAAUUUAUGUAUGUGAAUUGAUAAAAUGCAUGAAUUUUAAUUUCUUAGUCUUAAGUGCAGAAAAUUUUCUCUAUUAAAUAUGUGGCAUCUGCAACAAUCUAAAAACUGCUUAAAAAUAUUAUUUGACGUAAUGUACUGCAAUAAUGGCAACUUGAUAAGUCAGCAUUGUUGAAUUAUCUGAAAAAGUCAUUAGAUGGUUCGCCAUUUAUCGACUAGAGUGCAAAAAUUUUCUGCACCGCAAUUAGAAUAGAACUAGCGUCUUGCGAUCAAAAUCCUUCUGUUUAUUUAUAUUACUAUA